rnacentral:rRNA from 1 species
AUUGAACGCUGGCGGCAUGCCUUACACAUGCAAGUCGAACGGCAGCGGGGGAGAAGCUUGCUUUUCCUGCCGGCGAGUGGCGAACGGGUGAGUAAUACAUCGGAACGUGCCCUGUAGUGGGGGAUAACUAGUCGAAAGAUUAGCUAAUACCGCAUACGACCUGAGGGUGAAAGUGGGGGACCGCAAGGCCUCAUGCUAUAGGAGCGGCCGAUGUCUGAUUAGCUAGUUGGUGGGGUAAAGGCCUACCAAGGCGACGAUCAGUAGCUGGUCUGGGAGGACGAUCAGCCACACUGGGACUGAGACACGGCCCAGACUCCUACGGGAGGCAGCAGUGGGGAAUUUUGGACAAUGGGCGAAAGCCUGAUCCAGCAAUGCCGCGUGUGUGAAGAAGGCCUUCGGGUUGUAAAGCACUUUUGUCCGGAAAGAAAUGGCUCUGGUUAAUACCUGGGGUCGAUGACGGUACCGGAAGAAUAAGGACCGGCUAACUACGUGCCAGCAGCCGCGGUAA